GACGAACGCUGGCGGCAUGCCUAACACAUGCAUGUCGAACGAGAUCUUCGGGUCUAGUGGCGCACGGGUGCGUAACGCGUGGGAAUCUGCCCUUUGGUUCGGAAUAACAGUUGGAAACGACUGCUAAUACCGGAUGAUGACGAAAGUCCAAAGAUUUAUCGCCAGAGGAUGAGCCCGCGUAGGAUUAGCUAGUUGGUGUGGUAAAGGCGCACCAAGGCGACGAUCCUUAGCUGGUCUGAGAGGAUGAUCAGCCACACUGGGACUGAGACACGGCCCAGACUCCUACGGGAGGCAGCAGUGGGGAAUAUUGGACAAUGGCGAAAGCCUGAUCCAGCAAUGCCGCGUGAGUGAUGAAGGCCUUAGGGUUGUAAAGCUCUUUUACCCGGGAUGAUAAUGACAGUACCGGGAGAAUAAGCUCCGGCUAACUCCGUGCCAGCCGCCGCGGUAA
rnacentral:rRNA from 1 species